rnacentral:tRNA from 1 species
CCUCUGGUAGCUCCAGUUGGUAGAGCGGUGGACUGUAGAUCCAUAGGUCGCUGGUUCAAAUCCGGCCCAGAGGA